rnacentral:rRNA from 1 species
GCGUUGUCCGGAAUUAUUGGGCGUAAAGGGCUCGUAGGCGGUCCAUCACGUCGGGAGUGAAAAGCUGGGGCUCAACCCCAGUCCUGCUUUCGAUACGGGUGGACUAGAGGUAGGCAGGGGAGAAUGGAAUUCCUGGUGUAGCGGUGAAAUGCGCAGAUAUCAGGAGGAACACCGGUGGCGAAGGCGGUUCUCUGGGCCUUACCUGACGCUGAGGAGCGAAAGCGUG